rnacentral:rRNA from 1 species
UUCCAGCUCCAAUAGCGUAUAUUAAAGUUGUUGCAGUUAAAAAGCUCGUAGUUGAAUUUCGGGAUCAAUUUACUGGUCGUGCUAUCGUACGUACUGGUUUUAUUGAUUCCUACCUUCUGACGAACCAUGAUGUCAUUAAUUUGGUGUCAUGGGGAAUCAGGACUGUUACUUUGAAAAAAUUAGAGUGUUUAAAGCAGGCUCACGCUUGAAUACAUUAGCAUGGAAUAACGAAAUAGGACGUUUGAUUCUAUUUUGUUGGUUUCUAGGAUCGACGUAAUGAUUAAUAGGGAUAGUUGGGGGCAUUAGUAUUCAAUUGUCAGAGGUGAAAUUCUUGGAUUUAUUGAAGACUAACUACUGCGAAAGCAUUUGCCAAGGAUGUUCUCAUUAAUCAAGAACGAAAGUUAGGGGAUCGAAGACGAUCAGAUACCGUCGUAGUCUUAACCAUAAACUAUGCCGACUAGGGAUCGGAUGAUGUUAAUUUUUUAAUGACUCAUUCGGCGCCUUAGGGGAA